rnacentral:lncRNA from 10 species
CUUUGUCUAGAAAGUUCAAUGACUGCUUUUUGAAGGUACAUUCUCUAUAAAUUUCUUCUCUAACUGGGUCAUAGGUUCUUGUUUAUUCUCAUGCUUUGCAUUUUUUUGUUAAAAACUGGAGAUUUUGAAUAUUAUAAUGUGGUAAUUUGGAUAUUAUAUUAUUACCCAUCUUUGCUGUGGGCUGUAGCUUUUUGUUUGUUUAGUCACCUUUAUAAACUCUUUUUGUAGUUUUUUCCUUCAUGUUUGGUCCCAGAAAUUUAUGUUCCUUUAGCUUGUGUUCAGCUAGUGUUUUCACAGAGAUUUUCUUGAAUACCAGGAAGCAAAGAAAGGAAAAAAAGAGAGAGAGAAAAAAGAAAAAGGAAAGAAGUAAACAAAAUCUUCCAGUCUUUGCUGAUUAAUUCUGUGCUGGGCAUUUCUUUAACACUUAUCCAGACUAUUAAUUAUAUUUUUAUAUCUUAUCUUUAUUUUCUGCUUGCUCUGAAUCUAUGUAAUAGCCAGAAAUGAAACUUAAGUGUUUUUAUGCAUGUUCUAAUCAUAGCCCCUACCCGGGGCAAGCAUGUGACUUUCUAGCUUCCCCACUAUACAUAUAAACUUUUGAAUGCUAGUUUCCCAAAGAAACUCUCUGUUUCUAGGAUUUCCUCCUAUGCUUUAGGUGCACUAUUUUUUGUACCUCAACUGUAAUAUUUUGCCCCAGGCAACAGCAGUUGGUUAGCUUGCCUUAAAAUGUUUUCAAGUAAUACCUGCCACUUUUAUAAUUGGAGUGAAUAUUGAGUUAGGCCAAUCAAAGAUGACUGUCUUGCAUUAGUCCUUCAAGAAGUCCCCAGGCAGGCUAGAACAGACAAAUGCAAUUCUUUGAGUAUAAGUUCUGCUGUACAGAACCAGGGACCGGCAUUCCACACUGGAAACAUGCUGUCAUCUUCAAGAUAAUUGCUGAGCAAAAGAAGAAGGUGGAGAAAAAGCAGAAAGGGUUUCACUCUGUCACCGAAGCUGGAGUACAGUGGCGAGAUUACAGCUCGCUGCAGUCUUCACCUCCCAGGUUCAAGUGAUCUUCACACAGCCUCCCAGGUAGCUGGGAUCACAGGUGAGGUCUGUCUCUGUCACCCAAUACAGUGGCGUGAUCUCAGCUCACUACAACUUCUGUCUCCUGGGCCCAAGUGAUCCUCCUGCCUCAGACUCCCAAGUAACUGGGACUACAGGUGAACACCACCACACCUGGCUAAAUUUUUAUUCUUAGUAGAGAUGGGGCCUUGCCACUUUGCCCAGACUGGUCCUGAACUCUUGGGGUCAAGCAAUACUCCCACCUUGGCCACUUGUGAUCUUCUGGGGUUACAAGAGUGAGCCACCACACCUGGCCAACAUGUAUUUCUUGAUAAUGUAAAAAUUAGUAAAGAAUUGACUUUUACAGUGGUCUUUAAUUUGUAUUAGCAUAUAAAUUAAAGUUUUAGAAUUUUUUUCUCCUUGUUUCCUAUUAUUAAUUCUCAUUAAUUUAGUUAUCUCAUUUUUUUCUGGAUAUUUUUAUCACUGUUAUUAUUUGUUGUUGUCUUGAGCGUACUGUUCCAAAACCAGAACUAUAGUCUAGCUUCUUUAAUUAUCUAGACUUUAGAAAGCAAAGGCAUACAAAAUUAGUUAAAAAAUAACAUUUACUGAGUUUUCAUUGAAAUUUAUAUUCUGAGUGUUUCAGUAACUUUAUACUGAGUGUUUCAAUAAU